UACGAAGGGGGCUAGCGUUGCUCGGAAUCACUGGGCGUAAAGCGCACGUAGGCGGCUUUUUAAGUCAGGGGUGAAAUCCUGGAGCUCAACUCCAGAACUGCCUUUGAUACUGGGAAGCUUGAGUCCGGGAGAGGUGAGUGGAACUCCGAGUGUAGAGGUGAAAUUCGUAGAUAUUCGGAAGAACACCAGUGGCGAAGGCGGCUCACUGGCCCGGUACUGACGCUGAGGAGCGAAAGCCAGGGGAGCAAACGGG
rnacentral:rRNA from 1 species